UGUUUGAGGGCAUAUUAGACUUUUGAGCUUAUCUGUAUACGUGGCUUUUUUAUAUCUAUCCAAUUACUACGUGUAGCGUUUUUUACGUUAUUACAGAGGUGGGUUUUAUUGGAUUUCUGUACAUCACAAUUUACAGAGCUUCAGAUAUCUUCGUCUUCCUCAUCUCUUCAACUUCUGCAGCUAUGUGUGGUGUAUUUGCGUGUACUCGCAUCUCUUUUUACUGGCUAAAUUUGAGCUUAUGGUAUAAUAAAGCACAAACAAAGAUGUAUGACAGGCCAUGUUUAGAAAAGUAUGUCAAUUACCACCAACUAAUUUGGUUCUCUUGCUUUUCUUCCUCUUCUCAACUUUCUCUUUGAAAGAAUGAGAUAGGCUACACUAACAAAUAAUCCCUACAGGUACCAAUAUUUUUGACAGAAGCAGGCAAGAAAGGAGCCUAACCAAAGCGUGAUAGCUGCACUAUAUUGCGUAAAUAUGCAUAGUAUAUAUAGCUGCACUAUAAAUAGCUGCACUAUAUUUCUCCCAUAGAUGAAAGGAUUUGGCAACCACACAACAUUCAAGAAUGGAUAUUUUGUCAUUCAUAUUCAUAAAUAAUAUCCUACAGUUGGUAUAUAAUAUCGUUAAAGUCAA